ensembl:lncRNA
AAGAAUAAAUUGAAGAUGAUUCCCAGAUGACAUUGCUAAUUGUGUUUUGUGUUGGAGAAGUUACAACAUGGAAGGAACCAGGGUCUUUGAGUCCUCUGAACUACUUGAAGGAAAUACUCACUGGACCUUUAUGUAAAGGAACCGAGACUUAGAGACCUGCCCAUAGUAAGAAAAUGCAACAUCUGGGUCUAGGGUCCAAAUCUAUCUCUGCUGUGAAGAGGAACUCAUAUAGGAGAUGUACACGAUUACAAAUUCUUGGCCUUGCAGUGGAGGCUUGCUCCUGCAGUGGUAGUGGAGUGAGGAGCCAGAAAAGGGACCAGGGGCUGGGGUGCAGAAGAAGGUGAUGUAAAUACCUGUGCCAACCUGAAGCAGCCCCUUCAGUUCUAAGUUUAUAAUCCUUCAGCUGGGCAAGAUGUUGAAGAUCCACUUGUUUCAAGAACACUCUUGUAUCCUUGCCAGAAUAGCACGUUCUUUACCCUGCGCCUCUGAAGGUAUCAGUCUAUAUUUAAGGCAAUAAUUAUGUGGACUGUCGGUCUUUCUUCAACAAGAGAGAUGACAUUAAGACUCACUGUGGUAAUAUUACCAUUCCAGUAUAUGUAAAAUCUUGUGAAAAAGACUAUAUACUGCUUAAGCAAAAUUUUGCCUUUCACACACAAAAAAAUUCCUCCGAUUGUUCAAUCAGUUGGUAUUGUGGAAACCUGGAACCUCUUUAUGAAAUGCAGCAUUUCCAAAUGGACUUAAAAUUGACCAUUUUGCAGACAUAAUGGCAAGUGUAUUUCAUCAGAAAUAAUAAUGGCUAUAUGAUGAAUUGAUCAUUUAUUCUCUGCCACACAAUCAUGCCAUCUAUGUGAUCUUUCUUAAUCCUUACAAUACCCUGUAAGUAAGGAAGCUGUUAUUAUUUUUGUAUUGUAGGUGGAGAAGCUGAGGUUAGAAAAGUGAAGUCACAUGUUCAGUUUCAUGUGCCUAGAAAGUGGUGGAGCCAGGAUGUGACCUCUCUUCUGUGUGAUCACAAAGCUCAUGCCCUAAUCACUAACUUGAACCUCACAGAAUUCACAUUAAAGGACAGAUUUUGACAAUGAUUUGGUUGGCUCAAAAGUGAAAAUGUUGCUGAAGUAAGAAUAUGGUAGAAUUUUCUUUCAGAAAUUUUCAGAAAGUAUUCAUACUUGCUAUAAAAUGAAUGUUUGUGUUUCCCCCAAAUAUAGAUGUU